UUUGGAGAGUUUGAUCCUGGCUCAGGACGAACGCUGGCGGCGUGCCUAAUACAUGCAAGUCGAGCGGACUUGAAGGAGUGCUUGCACUCCUGA
rnacentral:rRNA from 1 species